GCCAAGACUCCUACGGGAGGCAGCAGUGGGGGAUAUUGCACAAUGGGGGAAACCCUGAUGCAGCGACGCCGCGUGGGCGAAGAAGUAUUUCGGUAUGUAAAGCCCUAUCAGCAGGGAAGAAGAAAUGACGGUACCUGAGUAAGAAGCACCGGCUAAAUACGUGCCAGCAGCCGCGGUAAUACGUAUGGUGCAAGCGUUAUCCGGAUUUACUGGGUGUAAAGGGAGCGUAGACGGCGACGCAAGUCUGGAGUGAAAGCCCGGGGCCCAACCCCGGGACUGCUCUGGAAACUGCGGCGCUGGAGUACGGGAGGGGCAGGCGGAAUUCCUGGUGUAGCGGUGAAAUGCGUAGAUAUCAGGAGGAACACCGGCGGCGAAGGCGGCCUGCUGGACCGUGACUGACGUUGAGGCUCGAGAGCGUGGGGAGCAAACAGGAUUAGAUACCCGCGUAA
rnacentral:rRNA from 1 species